rnacentral:lncRNA from 1 species
AAAAAUGUUAUUAUAUUUAAGUCGUUUUUGGAAAGUUUGCUUUAGCUUGCUAUAGCUACUUUCCAUAGGCGUCGGCCUCAACUUCCGAUGAGACAGACUAUCGCAAUGUUCUGCUCCAUCCUAAUGUAGUACUAGUGUUCGAAUUCUGAUUCUUGGAUAUUUUGAGUUGCUACUCUUUUAAAAAGAUUACAGCUUGAAUAAAAAGGAAUGAAUGUUCACCGACAAUUCAGAUUUUUCAUUUUGAAAAUAAAUAUCACAAACACUACUUUGCGGAUCGGCCAUUGGCUGAAGAUAAAAUCAAAAGAAAUCUACGCGAGACAGCGAUCUCACAUGAUCUUAAAACAUCAUUAAAAAACAAC